UGAAUACAGGUGGACUAGCUGGUAUAGGGGCUUAUAAAGGCAGUGUGUGUGUGUGUGUGUAGUCUGAAUACAGGUGGACUAGCUGGUAUAGGGGCUUAUAAAGGCAGUGUGUGUGUGUGUGUGUAGUCUGAAUACAGGUGGACUAGCUGGUAUAGGGGCUUAUAAAGGCAGUGUGUGUGUGUGUGUAGUCUGAAUACAGGUGGACUAGCUGGUAUAGGGGCUUAUAAAGGCAGUGUGUGUGUGUGUGUGUAGUCUGAAUACAGGUGGACUAGCUGGUAUAGGGGCUUAUAAAGGCAGUGUGUGUGUGUGUGUGUAGUCUGAAUACAGGUGGACUAGCUGGUAUAGGGGCUUAUAAAGGCAGUGUGUGUGUGUGUGUAGUCUGAAUACAGGUGGACUAGCUGGUAUAGGGGCUUAUAAAGGCAGUGUGUGUGUGUGUGUGUAGUCUGAAUACAGGUGGACUAGCUGGUAUAGGGGCUUAUAAAGGCAGUGUGUGUGUGUGUGUGUAGUCUGAAUACAGGUGGACUAGCUGGUAUAGGGGCUUAUAAAGGCAGUGUGUGUGUGUGUGUAGUCUGAAUACAGGUGGACUAGCUGGUAUAGGGGCUUAUAAAGGCAGUGUGUGUGUGUGUGUGUAGUCUGAAUACAGGUGGACUAGCUGGUAUAGGGGCUUAUAAAGGCAGUGUGUGUGUGUGUGUAGUCUGAAUACAGGUGGACUAGCUGGUAUAGGGGCUUAUAAAGGCGGUGUGUGUGUGUGUGUAGUCUGAAUACAGGUGGACUAGCUGGUAUAGGGGCUUAUAAAGGCAGUGUGUGUGUGUGUGUAGUCUGAAUACAGGUGGACUAGCUGGUAUAGGGGCUUAUAAAGGCGGUGUGUGUGUGUGUGUAGUCUGAAUACAGGUGGACUAGCUGGUAUAGGGGCUUAUAAAGGCGGUGUGUGUGUGUGUGUGUUGAUUUCAGUAUUUUGGCUGCUGCUACACUUUGACGUGUCUGUGUGAUAUUGGCAUGUUGCUAUGACAGCAAGUACGGCAGCUUACUUUGGCAUGGUAUAACUCACCCUGUUGAGCUGUCCUACCCAACACACACACACACACCCCUCUAAAACUGUACUUGGAACACAAGAGAAUAUCCAGUUCACUACAGAAA